UGAAAGGUUCAGCACCAGGCGACCCAGAGCAGCGGAGCGGCUGCUGAACCGAGCCUCCACCAGGAGCUUCGCUUCAGGUGUCACUUCCUUAAUCAGAGCCGCAGCGGCGUCUCAGCAGGUCAGACGGGAGGAAGAGUCUGAUUGGAUCAGGAGCAUCGACCGGCCGUCCUGUGGUCUGUUCUACAGCCCGACUCCACAGUUCCAGGUUUUCCAGUUUGCCUGUGGACUAAUUACAGCUAAUUACUGUCCAGGCUGCUCUGCAUUCAUCUCCCUCAUCUGCAGGAGGAAUGUGGAAAAGAUGCUGCAGACACAAACACUGACUGACUCACAUUAAAGGCUGACGUCUUUCAUUGGUCGUGGGUUCGACUCUGUACAUCCUGCUGUUCUUCCCUCAUCCACUGAUGUUUACAUGGAGCCGUACAGCAGGACGAUCUGCUGGGGAACAAUCUUCUUCUUUGAACAGAGGCAGCAGCAUGCUUAAUGAGGCAGCGGCGGCGCAGACAGCGGACUCCCGCAGAUACAAGUGGCUCUGAAUCAGUGACAUGAACAAGUCUGAACCCACCGGGGGUUUAACUGAACGCUCACCAACCAACGGUGACAUUUCAUGAGAAAGUUGAUUCAUGCUGUAAUUAACGACACAUAGAUGACCUUCCAACAUUUUCCAUGACGCCUGGGCUUCAGCAGUUUGCGCUUCGCUCUUGAACCUGACCACAUAGAGAGGCUGUAUGCCUCAGACAUCGGAUUAAUGUGCAGAUUCAUCCGGAAGAAGCACAACAACACGAUGUCAAGAUCAGUGUGGAGCUGCACGACAGUUUCUUUAUAAAACUGAGGAGAAAAGUGAAUUACCGUUUCUAUAUUUUCUUUUAAAGAAAAGCCUUGGGUUGAUCUUUCUUCCUAUAUUCAGCAUUUCUUGGUUCUCCAUAAAUACACAUCACCUGCUCCAUC